GAUGAACGCUGGCGGCGUGCCUAAUACAUGCAAGUCGAGCGAACGGACGAGAAGCUUGCUUCUCUGAUGUUAGCGGCGGACGGGUGAGUAACACGUGGAUAACCUACCUAUAAGACUGGGAUAACUUCGGGAAACCGGAGCUAAUACCGGAUGAUAUUUUGAACCGCAUGGUUCAAAAGUGAAAGACGGUCUUGCUGUCACUUAUAGAUGGAUCCGCGCUGCAUUAGCUAGUUGGUAAGGUAACGGCUUACCAAGGCAACGAUGCAUAGCCGACCUGAGAGGGUGUUCGGCCCACCGGGACCUAGACACGGGCCCGACCCCUCAGGGGGGGCCCAGGGGGGAAUAUUUCCGAAGGGGGGCAAGCCUGACCGAGGCACCCCGGGUGGGUGAAGAAGGGCCUUGGGGUCUAAAAACCUUGUUUUUGGAAAAAAAAAUAGUUGUAAAAAACCGUGCCGUUCUGACCGGUCCCUAAUCAGAAGCCCCCGCCUACCUCCGG
rnacentral:rRNA from 1 species